rnacentral:lncRNA from 1 species
AAACCAUCAUCUUCUCCGCCAACCAACAGAUUCCGGACAGAUUUGCAGGAAAAUGAACCUCAACGAAAAUGAAAAACAAGGACAUGGAAAUAAAGCUCUUGUGAUGUAGAUCAUCAAUGUACCAUUGGAUUUAUUUCAUUCUUCCUAUAUUGAGAGAAAGAUGAAGGAGAAAAUCAUGUUGUCCACACGGAUUGUUCAUGAAAUGGAAAAUUGAAUGCAC